AGACGAGAUAGAAGCAAAUGAUUAUGACAACUUCACAAAGAGGGCUUACGUGAGCAAAGCCACGAAGCUGGCUUUCUUGCCAAUUGCAUAUGCAAGAUCAUUUGUUAGGUCAUCAAGAAUGUCAUCUCCUAUGACAUCGCCAUGAUACAUAUAUAUAUGGAACCAUGAACAUCAAUUUCUAAAUCAUAUACAGAAGAAAAGGAUUAGGAAAAAAAGUUCAUAAUAUGUACUUCGCAGCUGUAUUUAUAAUGCAGCAAAUAUUCAUUAAAAGUAAUGAUGAUGAAUUCAAUUUAUUUCAAGGCAUGGAGUAUUGGAU
rnacentral:misc_RNA from 1 species